AGGACGAACGCUGGCGGCGUGCAUAACACAUGCAAGUCACGGGGGCCAGUAGCAAUACUGGCAACCGGCGAACGGGUGCGUAACACGUAAGCGACCUACCUCGAUGUGGGGCAUAGCCGGCCUAACGGCCGGGUAAUUCCGCAUGUGAUCCUUGAGGGGCAUAUCUCGGGGAUGAAACCAGUAAUGGGCAUUGAGAGGGGCUUGCGGCCUAUCAGCUUGUUGGCGGGGUAACGACUCACCAAGGCGACGACGGGUAGC
rnacentral:rRNA from 1 species